CCCCUCCUCUCCGCUAAAGAUCUUACAUCGAUAGCUCUCUGGCAGGCUCCAAAAGCGAGUUAAUCUUUUCGUAACGAUUAGUUCAGGAUGGGUAAAGGUAACCCCUCAUCAGAAGACCAGGAAAGGAAUCGGUGUCCAGGCUACAGAGGCGAAGUGAUCAUCAGGUCUUGAUUUCAGCUGAGGUUAAGGCAUCAUACAGCAGCAUGAUUGCUGUUCCUCGAUUUGAACAUUUAGAAGGAUGACGUUUUUCUCUUCAGAUCGGGUGAUGUGGUGAUUCUUUCUUUUCCAAGUGGAUGUGACUUUAUCUGAUUUUCAAGCUUAAGGGCGUAUCACGUUUUCGUGUGUUGCCUUUAACAUACUGUCCGUCUUCAAUUUGAAUUUUGUAAUGCUAUCUUUUGGAUCCUCAAUAUGGAAAUCGAAAUGG